rnacentral:rRNA from 1 species
GAUGAACGCUAGCGGGAGGCUUAACACAUGCAAGUCGAGGGGUAACAUGAUGUAGCAAUACAUUGAUGACGACCGGCGUACGGGUGAGUAACGCGUAUGCAACCUACCCUGUACAGGGGGAUAGCCCGGAGAAAUUCGGAUUAAUACCCCAUAAAGAUAUUUAGAGGCAUCUUUAGAUAUUUAAAGUUUCGACGGUACGGGAUGGGCAUGCGUAACAUUAGCUAGUUGGUAGGGUAACGGCCUACCAAGGCGACGAUGUUUAGGGGUCCUGAGAGGGUGAUCCCCCACACUGGUACUGAGACACGGACCAGACUCCUACGGGAGGCAGCAGUGAGGAAUAUUGGUCAAUGGGCGCAAGCCUGAACCAGCCAUCCUGCCGGUACCCUGGGAAUAAGCAUCGGCUAACUCCGUGCCAGCAGCCGCGGUAAUACGGAGGAUGCGAGCGUUAUCCGGAUUUAUUGGGUUUAAAGGGUGCGUAGGCGGAUUAAUAAGUCAGUGGUGAAAACCUGCAGCUUAACUGUAGAAUUGCCAUUGAUACUGUUAGUCUUGAGUACGGUCAAGGUAGGCGGAAUGUGUAAUGUAGCGGUGAAAUGCUUAGAUAUUACACAGAACACCGAUUGCGAAGGCAGCUUACUGGGCCAUUACUGACGCUGAGGCACGAAAGCGUGGGGAGCGAACAGGAUUAGAUACCCUGGUAGUCCACGCCGUAAACGAUGAUCACUCGCUGUUGGCGAUACACAGUCAGCGGCUAAGCAAAAGCAUUAAGUGAUCCACCUGGGGAGUACGGCCGCAAGGCUGAAACUCAAAGGAAUUGACGGGGGCCCGCACAAGCGGAGGAACAUGUGGUUUAAUUCGAUGAUACGCGAGGAACCUUACCUGGGCUUAAAUGUAGAGUGCAUGGGGUAGAAAUAUCCCUUUCCUUCGGGACUCUUUGCAAGGUGCUGCAUGGUUGUCGUCAGCUCGUGCCGUGAGGUGUCGGGUUAAGUCCCAUAACGAGCGCAACCCUUAUCGUUAGUUGCCAGCGGGUCAUGCCGGGAACUCUAACGAAACUGCCGGUGUAAACCGUGAGGAAGGUGGGGAUGACGUCAAAUCAGCACGGCCCUUAUGUCCAGGGCUACACACGUGUUACAAUGGCCGGUACAGAGGGCAGCUACCUGGAGACAGGAUGCGAAUCUCCAAAGCCGGUCUCAGUUCGGAUCGGAGUCUGCAACUCGACUCCGUGAAGCUGGAUUCGCUAGUAAUCGCGCAUCAGCCAUGGCGCGGUGAAUACGUUCCCGGGCCUUGUACACACCGCCCGUCAAGCCAUGGAAGUUGGGGGUACCUGAAGUCCGUAACCGUAAGGAGCGGCCUAGGGUAAAACUAGUGACUGGGGCU